rnacentral:rRNA from 1 species
UACGUAGGGGGCGAGCGUUGUCCGGAUUUACUGGGCGUAAAGAGCGCGCAGGCGGCUUGUCAAGUCCGAUGUGAAAGCUCGUGGCUUAACUGGGAAAUUGCAUCGGAAACUGAUCGGCUGGAAGGCGGGAGAGGGUAGCGGAAUUCCCGGUGUAGUGGUGAAAUGCGUAGAUAUCGGGAGGAACACCAGUGGCGAAGGCGGCUACCUGGGCCGUUCUUGACGCUGAGGCGCGAAAGCUAGGGGAGCGAACGGG